CUAGUGAUGUCACGAUGAUCGAGUAGAAUCGAAUAAUCGUCGCUGGCCGCUUAUGUUAGCGACAAUCGAUUUCUUUACUGUAAAAUCGAUGUUGCUACUUACAUUUCUUUGGGUUAAAAGAAAAUCAGAAAGGGACGUUACUCUCAUCGUAAAGUCGGACAAGGAAAUUUUCAACUUCCCAGGGAAGACACGCUCAUCAGUUUGGCGUUGUCUUUGGUUUUAAAAAACAUUCUGACGGUCCGCCAGUCAAGCACAACCUUCACAUGACGACCGUCAUUUGCCGAUUAUACAUGAAGUCGUAUGCAAACAAAGGUAAUGCAGCAUUUCGACAAACCUCACCGUAACACUGAUGAAACUAGUCAUACUGUAUCUAGUCCAAAAUA